GUAACCCUCUGUGUUGCUGUCCAGCAGGGUAGAAAAGCGGAAGGUGACGGACCCUGUGGGAGUCCUGAAAGAGAAGUACCUGAGGCCGUCCUCACUACUGUUCCACCCCCAGAUGUCAGCCAUAGAAACCAUGACGGAGAAGCUGGAGAGCUUUGCAGCCAUGAAGGCCGACUCAGGCAGCUCCCUGCAGCCCCUGCCUCACCACCCCUUCAACUUCCGGUCCCCACCCCCAACGCUCUCGGAUCCCAUCCUCAGGAAGGGCAAGGAGAGAUACACUUGCAGGUACUGUGGCAAGAUCUUCCCCAGAUCUGCGAAUCUCACAAGACAUCUGAGGACACACACUGGGGAACAGCCGUACAGGUAGGAGCCACCUGGUGUUAGCAGAGGUGGGGAGAGAAUUUUUCCUACAUUCAGAUACACCCGCAGGGCUGUGGCUAGUGGAAGGGCAGUGGGAAGGAGCUACAGUGUUCAGUGGGAUCUGGUUCUGACAUUCUCUGCCUCUAUCUCCUGGCCCACCAUCCCCCUGCUCCCUGGAAUAGUGUAAGGAUGAGGCAGAAAGUGCCCAGGAAACUGGAGGGCUCCUUCCAAGCUCCUAAAAGAAGAUAGAUAUAAGAGAACCUCUCCUCUCCAGUAGCUAAAGUAUCGACCAGAGCAAGCAAUCAAAAUCAGAGAUGUGACUUGAAGCUGGAUUCUCCACAGGUCCCUGAGAGAACCUUAGCCAGCCCCACCCAGUCCUGUCCUGUCAUGAUGACCAUAGCCACCUCCUCCCUGAGGAUGAUCCCUUUAGCAAAUAUGGAACGCCCUUGAUUCCCUGCAGCCGACCCUGAGUGGGGAGCCAUGCAUGUGUCGCUAGAGUAGAGAGUAAGAGUUACAGAGUGACACGGAGCAGCCUCCUGGUGGGUCUUACUGUCCCGCUACUUCAAAACCGAGGAGUUACAGAUUAGAGAUGCCCUGAGGUUCUCCAAGGGUUGGAACCCAAGGCCACUUCUGUCUACUCUUCCAGCCCCAGGUCCCAUCCUUCGUGUCCUUGAGUCUUUGUUUUUGCACAAGAGGGCUGAGGAUGCAGCGGUUUCUUGCCCUGUGCUCCCAGUCAGGGAGUGGGCCUUUUAAAACAGAACUCAGGCAAUUGUCACCCUGAGACAAACAGGGAAAUGGCCACUUCUCUGCCAGGACCAGUUUAGCAACACGUUCUGGGGUGUGUCUAGCUGGCUAAGGCUUUGGGAAAGAAAGAGUCUAGCUUGGUUUUAGGCCGAUGGCAUUAGACCCCUAUGCCCUGUCCAUGCAGAGACUGUUUCACCAGGAAGUGGCCACGUGAUGAUGGGGCCCUGGGGACUCCGCCUGUGUGCCCUUUCCUGCGGCAGGGAUCCCAUGUGGAUAUGCAUGUGUUGUGAUCCCCAAGCCCCACUCAGGUAUACAGAGCAUCCCUGGUGGCCACAUCUGUGUGAGGAGAAUGAACGACAGACAGCUCUUUCUAGUUCUGUGUCCCAUGCCUCCCAGCCCUCCCGACACGCAGCCCCCCUUGUCUACUCUCUGAAAAUAGUGACUUACAACUUAACAAAGGCGAGCAACAGAAAGAUUUAUUUGGUCUGGUCCUCGCCCAGAAAACGAGCCCUGUGUUUUUUCUGUAAUGAGAGCCGACUCCUGGACAGCGCGUCGUGCUAAGAGCCCCCAGAGGGUAGGGGCCGUGUUUAUAGAAGAAUUUAAUUAUCAUUGAUUUCUUUUGCUCUCUCCAAUCUGAGAGUUUCGACUUUGGUAACAAUAAUUGCUUUGCAAGUUUGUGUUGCAAAUCCUGACUUUAUCUGGCUCCA